rnacentral:rRNA from 1 species
GAGUUUGAUCAUGGCUCAGGACGAACGCUGGCGGCGUGCUUAACACAUGCAAGUCGAACGGAAAGGCCCUGCUUUUGUGGGGUGCUCGAGUGGCGAACGGGUGAGUAACACGUGAGUAACCUGCCCUUGACUUUGGGAUAACUUCAGGAAACUGGGGCUAAUACCGGAUAGGAGCACCUGCUGCAUGGUGGGGGUUGGAAAGUUUCGGCGGUUGGGGAUGGACUCGCGGCUUAUCAGCUUGUUGGUGGGGUAGUGGCUUACCAAGGCUUUGACGGGUAGCCGGCCUGAGAGGGUGACCGGCCACAUUGGGACUGAGAUACGGCCCAGACUCCUACGGGAGGCAGCAGUGGGGAAUAUUGCACAAUGGGCGGAAGCCUGAUGCAGCAACGCCGCGUGCGGGAUGACGGCCUUCGGGUUGUAAACCGCUUUCGCCUGUGACGAAGCGUGAGUGACGGUAAUGGGUAAAGAAGCACCGGCUAACUACGUGCCAGCAGCCGCGGUGAUACGUAGGGUGCGAGCGUUGUCCGGAUUUAUUGGGCGUAAAGGGCUCGUAGGUGGUUGAUCGCGUCGGAAGUGUAAUCUUGGGGCUUAACCCUGAGCGUGCUUUCGAUACGGGUUGACUUGAGGAAGGUAGGGGAGAAUGGAAUUCCUGGUGGAGCGGUGGAAUGCGCAGAUAUCAGGAGGAACACCAGUGGCGAAGGCGGUUCUCUGGGCCUUUCCUGACGCUGAGGAGCGAAAGCGUGGGGAGCGAACAGGCUUAGAUACCCUGGUAGUCCACGCUGUAAACGGUGGGUACUAGGUGUGGGGUCCAUUCCACGGGUUCCGUGCCGUAGCUAACGCUUUAAGUACCCCGCCUGGGGAGUACGGCCGCAAGGCUAAAACUCAAAGGAAUUGACGGGGCCCCGCACAAGCGGCGGAGCAUGCGGAUUAAUUCGAUGCAACGCGUAGAACCUUACCUGGGUUUGACAUGGAUCGGGAGCGCUCAGAGAUGGGUGUGCCUCUUUUGGGGUCGGUUCACAGGUGGUGCAUGGCUGUCGUCAGCUCGUGUCGUGAGAUGUUGGGUUAAGUCCCGCAACGAGCGCAACCCUUGUUCACUGUUGCCAGCACGUUAUGGUGGGGACUCAGUGGAGACCGCCGGGGUCAACUCGGAGGAAGGUGGGGAUGACGUCAAGUCAUCAUGCCCCUUAUGUCCAGGGCUUCACGCAUGCUACAAUGGCUGGUACAGAGAGUGGCGAGCCUGUGAGGGUGAGCGAAUCUCGGAAAGCCGGUCUCAGUUCGGAUUGGGGUCUGCAACUCGACCUCAUGAAGUCGGAGUCGCUAGUAAUCGCAGAUCAGCAACGCUGCGGUGAAUACGU